AUUGAACGCUGGCGGCAUGCUUUACACAUGCAAGUCGAACGGCAGCGCGGACUUCGGUCUGGCGGCGAGUGGCGAACGGGUGAGUAAUAUAUCGGAACGUACCCAGGGGUGGGGGAUAACGUAGCGAAAGUUACGCUAAUACCGCAUACGCUCUAUGGAGGAAAGCAGGGGAUCGCAAGACCUUGCGCGCUUGGAGCGGCCGAUAUCUGAUUAGCUAGUUGGUGGGGUAAAGGCUCACCAAGGCAACGAUCAGUAGCUGGUCUGAGAGGACGACCAGCCACACUGGGACUGAGACACGGACCAGACUCCUACGGGAGGCAGCAGCGGGGAAGUUUGGACAAUGGGGGCAACCCUGAUCCAGCAAUGCCGCGUGAGUGAAGAAGGCCUUCGGGUUGUAAAGCUCUUUUGUCAGGGAAGAAACGGGCGUGGCUAAUAUCCAUGCCUAAUGACGGUACCUGAAGAAUAAGCACCGGCUAACUACGUGCCAGCAGCCGCCGUAAUAC
rnacentral:rRNA from 1 species